rnacentral:rRNA from 1 species
AGUGGCGGACGGGUGAGUAACGCGUGAGAAUCUGCCUUGGGGUCGGGGACAACCACUGGAAACGGUGGCUAAUACCGGAUAAGCCGAUUGGUGAAAGAUUUAUUGCCCGAAGAGGAGCUCGCGUCUGAUUAGCUAGUUGGUGAGGUAAGAGCUCACCAAGGCAGCGAUCAGUAGCUGGUCUGAGAGGACGAUCAGCCACACUGGGACUGAGACACGGCCCAGACUCCUACGGGAGGCAGCAGUGGGGAAUUUUCCGCAAUGGGCGAAAGCCUCACGGAGCAAGACCGCGUGAGGGAGGAAGGCUCUUGGGUUGUAAACCUCUUUUCUCAGGGAAGAAGCUCUGACGGUACCUGAGGAAUCAGCCUCGGCUAACUCCGUGCCAGCAGCCGCGGUAAUACGGAGGAGGCAAGCGUUAUCCGGAAUUAUUGGGCGUAAAGCGUCCGCAGGUGGCGAUUCAAGUCUGCUGUCAAAGCACGGGGCUUAACUCCGUAAAGGCAGUGGAAACUGAAUAGCUAGAGUGCCGUAGGGGUAGAGGGAAUUCCCGGUGUAGCGGUGAAAUGCGUAGAGAUCGGGAAGAACAUCGGUGGCGAAAGCGCUCUACUGGACGGCAACUGACACUCAGGGACGAAAGCUAGGGGAGCGAAUGGGAUUAGAUACCCC